AAUAUGUAAAUAAACGAUGCAAACUGAUUUGAAAUAUUUAUAAAAGCACCAGUACAACAAUUUUGGUUUGCUAUAAUUUUAUAGCAACUUUUGAUAAUUUUAAGAACCAUUCACAUAUCAGCCGAAUAUUUUAUAUUUUUUGUACAGAAGCUUUUUAGGAUAAAAGCUUAGUAGUAAAGUAACUUAAAUGUAGAUGGCCCAUGAAUUCAAUAAUCUCGUCUAAUAAUGUUUAAAUGUAUGUGUAAGUGUUUACUGUCAGAAUAUAUGACUAAGCAUUCUAAAGCAUGAAGAUUACAUUUUCUCAAAUCUUUACUCACAUUUAAAUCGUCUUGGCUGAAGAGUGGAAGCAAGUUCGGUGAAUAAUUUACGUUUUUAUUUGAUUCGAAGUUUUUUGAUUAAUUUUUCACGCGGAACAAAGGCUCUGCUCUCGAGCAAUUAUUUAUCGUACAAAAGCAGCGUCCGAUUGACGCUUUU